rnacentral:rRNA from 1 species
AACGAACGCUGGCGGCGUGGAUGAGGCAUGCAAGUCGAACGGGAUCCAGCAGGUAGCAAUAUUUGCUGGUGAGAGUGGCGUAAGGGUGAGUAAUGCGUGGGUAAUCUACCUCUAAGAUCGGCAUAGCCCGGCGAAAGCUGGGAUAAUUCCGAAUGUUGUCGGCCGGUGCAUACCGGCCUGUCCAAAGCUGGGGACCGCAAGGCCUGGCACUUGGAGAUGAGCCCACGUCCUAUCAGCUAGUUGGUGAGGUAACGGCUCACCAAGGCUUACGGGUAGCUGGUCUGAGAGGACGAUCAGCCACACUGGGACUGAGACACUGCCCAGACUCCUACGGGAGGCUGCAGUCGAGAAUCUUUCGCAAUGGGCGCAAGCCUGACGAAGCGACGCCGCGUGUAGGAUGAAGGCCUUCGGGUUGUAAACUACUGUCUUUGGGGAGCAACGGCCGGGACGUUAAUACCGUACCGGAUUGAUAGUACUCAAGGAGGAAGCCACGGCUAACUCUGUGCCAGCAGCCGCGGUAAUACAGAGGUGGCGAGCGUUGUUCGGAUUUACUGGGCGUAAAGGGUGCGUAGGCGGUUCUGCGUGUCGGAUGUGAAAUCUCACUGAAAACGGUGAAACGGCAUUCGAAACUGCAGGGCUAGAGUGCAGGAGAGGAUGGCGGAAUUCUCGGUGUAGCGGUGAAAUGCGUUGAUAUCGAGAGGAACGCCGGUGGCGAAGGCGGCCAUCUGGACUGCAACUGACGCUGAGGCACGAAAGCUAGGGGAGCAAACAGGAUUAGAUACCCUGGUAGUCCUAGCCGUAAACGGUGUGAACUUGGUGUGGGAGGAAUUAUCCCCUUCCGUGCCGUAGCUAACGCGAUAAGUUCACCGCCUGGGGAGUACGGCCGCAAGGCUAAAACUCAAAGGAAUUGACGGGGGCCCGCACAAGCGGUGGAGCAUGUGGCUUAAUUCGAUGCAACGCGAAGAACCUUACCUGGGCUUGACAUGUAACUGCAAAUCCGGUGAAAGCCGGACUCCUUCGAGGGUGUUACACAGGUGCUGCAUGGCUGUCGUCAGCUCGUGCCGUGAGGUGUUAGGUUAAGUCCUGCAACGAGCGCAACCCCUGUGACUAGUUGCUAGUCGCGCAAGCGAAGCACUCUAGUCAGACUGCCUGUGAUAAGCAGGAGGAAGGUGGGGAUGACGUCAAGUCAGUAUGGUCCUUAUGCCCAGGGCUGCACACGUGCUACAAUGUAGGGUACAGAGGGAUGCGAAUCCGCGAGGUGGAGCAAAUCCCAUAAAACCCUACUCAGUUCAGAUUGGAGUCUGCAACUCGACUCCAUGAAGCUGGAAUCGCUAGUAAUGGCGCAUCAGCUACGGCGCCGUGAAUACGUUCCCGGGCCUUGUACACACCGCCCGUCACAUCAUGAAAGCCGAUUGCACCCGAAGUCGCUGUUUCAACCCGCAAGGGGGAUAGGUGCCUAAGGUGUGGUUGGUGAUUGGGAUG